rnacentral:rRNA from 1 species
GACGAACGCUGGCGGCGUGCUUAACACAUGCAAGUCGAACGGAAAGGCCCUGCUUUUGUGGGGUGCUCGAGUGGCGAACGGGUGAGUAACACGUGAGUAACCUGCCCUUGACUUUGGGAUAACUUCAGGAAACUGGGGCUAAUACCGGAUAGGAGCUCCUGCUGCAUGGUGGGGGUUGGAAAGUUUCGGCGGUUGGGGCUGGUCUCGCGGCUUAUCAGCUUGUUGGUGGGGUAGUGGCUUACCAAGGCUUUGACGGGUAGCCGGCAUGAGAGGGUGACCGGCCACAGUGGGACUGAGGUACGGCCCAGACUCCAACGGUAGGCAGCAGUGGGGAAUCUUGCACAAUGGGCGGAAGCCUGAUGCAGCAACGCCGCGUGCGGGAUGACGGCCUUCGGGUUGUAAACCGCUUUCGCCUGUGACGAAGCGUGAGUGACGGUAAUGGGUAAAGAAGCACCGGCUAACUACGUG